rnacentral:rRNA from 1 species
AACAAACGCUGGCGGCGUGCCUAACACAUGCAAGUCGUACGAGAAAUCCCGGGCAACUGGGAGAGUAAAGUGGCGCACGGGUGAGUAACGCGUGGGUAACCUGCCCUUGAAUUGGGGAUAACUCCGCGAAAGCGGGGUUAAUACCGAAUGAUAUUUCGACUUCUUCGGAGGUUGGAAUCAAAGGUGGCCUCUGCAUGCAAGCUACUGUUCAAGGAUGGGCCCGCGUACCAUUAGCUUGUUGGUAGGGUAACGGCCUACCAAGGCAUCGAUGGUUAGCUGGUCUGAGAGGAUGGCCAGCCACACUGGAACUGAGACACGGUCCAGACUCCUACGGGAGGCAG